UAGGGAAUCUUCGGCAAUGGGGGGAACCCUGACCGAGCAACGCCGCGUGAGUGAAGAAUGUUUUCGGAUCGUAAAGCUCUGUUGUUAAGGAAGAACGAGUGUGAGAAUGGAAAGUUCAUACUGUGACGGUACUUAACCAGAAAGGGACGGCUAACUACGUGCCAGCAGCCGCGGUAAUACGUAGGUCCCGAGCGUUGUCCGGAUUUAUUGGGCGUAAAGCGAGCGCAGGCGGUUAGAAAAGUCUGAAGUGAAAGGCAGUGGCUCAACCAUUGUAGGCUUUGGAAACUGUUUAACUUGGGUGCAGAAGGGGAGAGUGGAAUUCCAUGUGUAGCGGUGAAAUGCGUAGAUAUAUGGAGGAACACCGGUGGCGAAAGCGGCUCUCUGGUCUGUAACUGACGCUGAGGCUCGAAAGCGUGGGGAGCGAACAGG
rnacentral:rRNA from 1 species